rnacentral:rRNA from 1 species
UACGGGGGGGGCAAGCGUUGUUCGGAAUUACUGGGCGUAAAGGGCUCGUAGGCGGCCAACUAAGUCGGACGUGAAAUCCCCAGGCUCAACCUGGGAACUGCGUCUGAUACUGGAUGGCUUGAAUCCGGGAGAGGGAUGCAGAAUUCCAGGUGUAGCGGUGAAAUGCGUAGAUAUCUGGAGGAAUACCGGUGGCGAAGGCGGCAUCCUGGACCGGCAUUGACGCUGAGGAGCGAAAGCCAGGGGAGCAAACAGG